rnacentral:rRNA from 1 species
UACGUAGGGUGCGAGCGUUGUCCGGAAUUACUGGGCGUAAAGAGCUCGUAGGUGGUUUGUCACGUCGUCUGUGGAAUUCCGGGGCUUAACCUCGGGCGUGCAGGCGAUACGGGCAAUACUUGAGUGCUGUAGGGGAGACUGGAAUUCCUGGUGUAGCGGUGAAAUGCGCAGAUAUCAGGAGGAACACCAAUGGCGAAGGCAGGUCUCUGGGCAGUUACUGACGCUGAGGAGCGAAGGCGUGGGGAUCAAACAGGAUUAGAUA